UGCUAUCGUUUAACUGUCCCUUUGCGACUUCAAUACACUGCAAAUACAUCAGAUAAACACUUAAAAUCAGUAGAAGGCUUUAAAACAAACACAUAGGAGAUUACAUAGGAGGAACUACUCUGAGCUGAUACUCACUCCUGGUUUGGGCAAUCUCAACGCUUAUAUAUAGAUCACAGGUGGUUAAAGAGACAUAAAUCAAGGCAAAUUAAGACGUUUUUUGCUGUCUUUACCCCAUUGGACAUGUGUAGUGGCUAGUAUCGAGACUUAUUUCCCCGAGGAGGCAUUUCUCGCACACACCCGGUCCCAGCCGUGGAGGGAGGAGGCUGGUGUGUUAUUUUUGUGUUUUUUGAAGCGAAUUAUCCUGUUGCCGAGGGAGCCAUGCACCUGGAAACGGCUGGGGAAGGAGACGGUGGCUGAGUGGUUAGCGUGCCGGUCCUGCGUUCACUGCGUCGUGGAUGAUGAGGGUUUGAAUCAGUCGCUGCCACAGACUACUUGUCCUGAAGACCACCACCAUCAUCCUGGACUGUAUGGGACUGUCCAAGGGAAAGCAAGAUGGGGCCGCUAUAAACACUUGCCGGCUUGGGCCCACCACCAGGCCCAGCCAAGGGAGGUUGGUGUAGCAGUGCCGGGAGGUUCCAUAACACAGGGCACUCCUCACCUCAACAACAGUCUCUUCACCGACAAGUAAUUCUUCACCAACAAGCUUUUCAGCAGCUUGGAGGAAUAGAGACAAGAGGAGGAGGAGGAAGAAGAGGAGGAGGAAGAAGAGGAGGAAGAGGACUUUGAAGACUGACAGACAGACAUCAUUCCAGUGAAUUGAAUGGCUGGCGUCUCGGUCUGCCUGCCUACAUG